AUCGCUUCUCGGCCUUUUGGCUAAGAUCAAGUGUAGUAUCUGUUCUUAUCAGUUUAAUACUUCAUAUGAGUGGAAUCAUGCCGUAUUUUUCCUUUUUUAACGACCUGUGUCCUCCCUACUCUGGAAUUUAGACGCUUACCACCAACUAAUGGAGAAGAAAGCUUCACACCUUCAAUUUGUUAAUUAUUU